GGCCGCCUGGCGAAAUGGCAUCGCGUCUGACUACGAUACCAGUGCCAAUGGCAUGUAUAGUUAUCAGGAGAUUGCAGGUUCGACCCCUGCGGUGGUCA